GUUAUGGCUCAGUGGUAGUACACUCGUCUGGCAUGUGUGAGGCACUGAGUUCGAUCCUCAGCAUCACA
rnacentral:tRNA from 1 species